rnacentral:tRNA from 1 species
UCCCUUGUAGCUCAGAUGGUAAAGCGUCUGCCUACAAUGCAGGAGACCCGGGUUCGAUCCCUGGGUGGGGAA